AGUCCACAUUGAUCCAAUUUUCCCAAACGUAACCACAUUCUCUGCCGUCAGCCACCUCUUCUCCGCCAUAGAACUUGAUCCUCUCCGUAUAUUUCAAGUCUCCAUUUGCUACGACCGUUGGUACUCUUGGACCAUCUCUGUCUCCUGGGGCUAUGCCGUUCAGAUUGAGAGUAAGCAUUUAUUCUACGGGAUGCUUUGAGGACACAAAAAACGUUCCGACCAUGGAAAAAUUCAGGCGGGUUGGCAAGUGUGUACACAUUCAACACAAGAGAUGUUCAUCCUGAUCCAUGCCAAAGACCUGUCACUUUCUUCAUGGAACAUGUUUCUUCUUCUCCCAGUGAUGGAACUAUUAAAAGUGUGUACAAGCAAGCUUACCAGAAUGCACGUACGAUCCCAUUUCAUCUCCUCGCAAAAUCGAAGAGAUUAGAGUAUUUUCGACAAGGUUGGAUCCCGAUAUCAGACAAUUGAAGGCUCCCAGAAGACAAUGUUGUGAUAUCUUACCAACUUCUUUCAACGGUGGAAAAGUAUUGGAAAUUGGAAUUCGAGAAUGCAAAGAAGAUGAGUUGAUCUAUAUACAUCCAUAGCUAGGACAAUUUUUUUUGAGAAAGGGCUUAAAAAUUUAACAAACGUUGAUACCUUCUUUUUUAUUUGUUUAUUACAUUGCUAUACAAAUUUAACAAAUGUCGUUGCCAUAGAGUUUUUAGUUAUUUUUUUUGUAUACUAUAUACUGCAUUAAACUGUUA